AAAUAUCCUCCUCCUCAUCCCCAAAAGCGUUAAACAACACCAAACACCAAAACUAAAUCUCCAAAAUCACCGAAAAACCUUUUCCCGUCUCUCUUUCAAGCUCGAGCUACUUCUCUGAUCAUCUUCUCCAUUAAAGGAGUUGGAAUAAUUAAUGGCAGGUAGAAAUAGAAUGCCAAGACAUGGAAUAGAUAACGGUGGUGGUAGAAGAGGUUAUCCACCAGAUGGUCCAUAUGCAAGAGGACCACCACCACCACAUCAAGUACCAAGACCAGUACCACAUCCAGCUAUGUUAGAAGAAGAAUUAGAAAUGCAACAUGUUGAGAUUCGUCGGCUUGUAACCGAUAAUCGAAGAUUAAUUGAUGACCGUAUUGGUCUUCAGCGUGAAUUAGCUGGUGCUAAAGAGGAGAUACAUAGGUUGAACAUGAUAAUUGGUGAUAUUAGGGCUGAGAAAGAUGCUCAUUCUAGGGAACUUAUUGAGAAAGGAUUGAAACUUGAAGCUGAUUUGAGAGCGACUGAGCCGUUGAGAAAUGAAGCGAUGCAGUUGAGGAAUGAAGUUCAGAAAUCGAAUAAUUCGAGGAAGGAUUUGGCUGGGCAAGUUGAGAAUUUGACGCAAGAGUUGGGAAGGGCACGUGCUGAUAAUCAGCAGAUUCCGAUGAUGAGAGCUGAGAUUGAUGGAAUGCAUCAGGAACUUAUGCGUGCAAGGUCUGCUUUUGAGUAUGAGAAGAAGGCGAAUGUUGAGCUAAUGGAGCAGAGGCAAGCAAUGGAGAAGAAUUUGGUUUCUAUGGCUCGUGAAGUUGAAAAGCUGCGUGCAGAUUUUGGUGGUGAUAAGGCUCAUGGAAGACCACCAUGGACUGCUGGUGCACCUUAUGGGAUGAAACAUGGGAGCCCCGAAGGAGGUUUUCCUACUCCAUAUGGUGAUGGAUAUGGCCUUCAUCAGAUGCCAUCUGGUGCUGCACAGGGUGCUGACAAAGGUCCAAUGUGCGGCGUGGGUUCUGGUUCAUGGGCUGGUCUGGAUAAGCAUCGUAUCGGGCGUCGCUGAGAAUAUUAUUUGUUGCUUCUUUGCAACAAGCAUCGAAUGAUCUUUCUCUAAAGCUCAGCUUGGAAAUUUAGAUUCAUCAAGGGAUCGUGGUGACUCAGUAUAAGGUUUUGCACUCCACUAUAUUUUGUUCAUCACAAAAGUAUGCUACAGCUGCUGUAAGGAUUGCUGCAAUUGAUCAAAUGGAGAAUUGAAGUUCUGGUGCGCUGUAGUUCUUUCCAUAAACGAUGAAAACUGCUGAAAUAAGGCCGGUGGUUAUAAGUGGUUCCUGGAUUCUUCUAUAGGGUUACAGGUUACCAGAUCGAAGAUGUUACAAGGCAGAUUAAAAUCCUGAUAUUCUGAUUCUCUCUCUGAAACUAAGCAACAAACGAAGAAUGUGGAAAUUAUCCUUGGCAAAAUCAAUAUUCAAAUUUUUUGGGUUGUUCCUCCAGGAGGAACUGCAGGUGGUAUAAUUCUUGCUUGGAACAUCACUUUAACUUGACUAUUCUGAAUUAUACUACCCAUUAAUCCCACCGGGUCAUUUCUUGCUUCUAUAGUAGUCCGUAUAGAGAUCUAAAAUUUGCGUCUUGGAAGAUUCCCAGAGAUAUGGCUUUUCAUUGGUGACUAUUGUCUGCAUGAAAAUGAGAAACGAAGUAGGUCUCAGUUUAACCAAUAUGAGGCUGGUAUGCUGCAAGACCUAGGUUUCUUGAACAAAGGCGAGAUAAGGCUGGUAUGCUGCAAGACCUAGGUUUCUUGGUUUAAUGCAUUUAAAGUUUAACUUGUUUUAUCAUUCGCAUUUUGAUCAUGUUUUAAUUUUCUCUCUCAACAAUCGCGUAACCUGGAAUGAUGGUGUGAAACCGUUUUAAGUAUUUUGGUCUUUGGAUGGACCACCCUCACUGUAA